AAUGGGGGAAACCCUGACGCAGCGACGCCGCGUGAGUGAUGAAGGCCUUCGGGUCGUAAAGCUCUGUCGUAUGGGACUAAUAAAUGAAGGUACCAUGCAAGAAAGGAUCGGCUAACUUCGUGCCAGCAGCCGCGGUAAGACGAGGGAUCCUAGCGUUGUUCGGAAUCAUUGGGCGUAAAGCGGGUGUAGGCGGCUCUAUAAGUCAGGUGUGAAAUCCCAGGGCUCAACCCUGGACGUGCAUUUGAUACUGUGGAGCUUGAGUGUGGGAGAGGCUACCGGAAUUCCUGGUGUAGUGGUGAAAUACGUAGAUAUCAGGAGGAACAUCGGAGGCGAAGGCGGGUAGCUGGCCCAACACUGACGCUCAGACCCGAAAGCGUGGGGAUCAAA
rnacentral:rRNA from 1 species